CGCGUAGGCGGACUUUCAAGUCGGAUGUGAAAACUGGUGGCUCAACUGCCAGCCUGCAUUCGAUACUGUUGGUCUUGAGUACAGUAGAGGAGAGCGGAAUUCCAGGUGUAGCGGUGAAAUGCGUAGAUAUCUGGAAGAACACCAGUAGCGAAGGCGGCUCUCUGGACUGAUACUGACGCUGAAGCGCGAAGGCUUGGGUAGCAAACA
rnacentral:rRNA from 1 species